rnacentral:misc_RNA from 1 species
UCCGAGUUGACCCCGGCAGUCUCCCAUGAGUCCCCAACUAAAUGCUGGCAACAUAGAACGAGGGUUGCGCUCGUUGCGGGACUUAACCCAACAUCUCACGACACGAGCUGACGACAACCAUGCACCACCUGUGAACCGACCCCAAAGGGGAAGGACUGUUUCCAGCCCGGUCCGGUCCAUGUCAAGCCUUGGUAAGGUUCUUCGCGUUGCAUCGAAUUAAUCCGCAUGCUCCGCCGCUUGUGCGGGCCCCCGUCAAUUCCUUUGAGUUUUAGCCUUGCGGCCGUACUCCCCAGGUGGGGCACUUAAUGCGUUAGCGCCGGCACGGGGGGAGUCGACACCCCCCACACCUAGUGCCCAUCGUUUACGGCUAGGACUAC